rnacentral:rRNA from 1 species
GAUGAACGCUGGCGGCGUGCCUAAUACAUGCAAGUCGAGCGAACGGACGAGAAGCUUGCUUCUCUGAUGUUAGCGGCGGACGGGUGAGUAACACGUGGAUAACCUACCUAUAAGACUGGGAUAACUUCGGGAAACCGGAGCUAAUACCGGAUAAUAUUUUGAACCGCAUGGUUCAAAAGUGAAAGACGGUCUUGCUGUCACUUAUAGAUGGAUCCGCGCUGCAUUAGCUAGUUGGUAAGGUAACGGCUUACCAAGGCAACGAUGCAUAGCCGACCUGAGAGGGUGAUCGGCCACACUGGAACUGAGACACGGUCCAGACUCCUACGGGAGGCAGCAGUGGGGAAUCUUCGGCAAUGGGCGAAAGCCUGACGGAGCAACGCCGCGUGAGUGAUGAAGGUCUUCGGAUCGUAAAACUCUGUUAUUAGGGAAGAACAGAUGUGUAAGUAACUGUGCACAUCUUGACGGUACCUAAUCAGAAAGCCACGGCUAACUACGUG